UACGUAGGGUGCGAGCGUUGUCCGGAAUUACUGGGCGUAAAGAGCUCGUAGGUGGUUUGUCGCGUUGUUCGUGAAAACUCACAACUCAAUUGUGGGCGUGCGGGCGAUACGGGCAGACUGGAGUACUGCAGGGGAGACUGGAAUUCCUGGUGUAGGCGGUGGAAUGCGCAGAUAUCAGGAGGAACACCGGUGGCGAAGGCGGGUCUCUGGGCAGUAACUGACGCUGAGGAGCGAAAGCGUGGGGAGC
rnacentral:rRNA from 1 species